GGGCUCCUGACCAGGGUACACAAGUCCUUGCCACCCUUGCAGCACUGGUAUCUCAUAUAUGCCUGCUUCUGACUGCAGCCGUGCUGGAGGGGCAGGUGCCCAAGGCCAGGAGUGCAAGCGAUAUUCCCAGCAAGUACUGUGGGCAGGCCUAGGCUAUGGGUUGACAGCCCAAAGGUGCCCAGGAUGCAGGUUUUCUACACAGGAAAGCCACACCAUGGGCCUAGAUAAGAGCUGGGGUCUGAUGAAUUUGUUGUGAGCCUCCUGCCUCAGGCUCCCUAGUGUUGGGAUGGCAGGCGUGGCAAGGAGAGGCAUAUUUUGGCUCAUGGUUAGUGAGGUUUCAGUCCAUGGGUUGCUGGCUGCAUUGUUUUUAGGCUAGUGGAGAAGUGGAACAUCAUGGUGGGAGGGAAGAGGCGAAGAAAGCAGCUUACUCCAUGCAGCCAGGAAUCAAGGAAGAGAGAGAAGAAGGGGGCAAGCUAUCCUUUGUGGGACACAUCCCCUCCUUCAGUGAGGUCGCACUGUCUAGGUUCUGUCACCUCCUAGCAACCCAUCAGCUUAUGAACUGACGGAUGGGUUGAUGGUCAUAAACCACUCAUGUCCCCUGUUUCUCCCGUGUUGGACAUUGCUGCUCUGGGGACCAAGCCAACUUUUUUUUUUUUUUUUUUUUGGUGUAUGUUUUUGAGACAGGCUCCCACUGUGUAGUUCAGACUAGUCUUGAGCUCACUUUGUAGCCCAAGCUGGUCUCAAACCCACAAUGAUCUUCCUGCCUCAACCUCCUGAGUGCUGGCAUUACAGGUGUGUAUUGCCAUGUCCGGCUGACUGAGCCUUCAGCACAUGAGCCCUUUGGGCAACAUUUUAGAUCCCAAGCACACCAGGAUGAUCUGGGGUACAAGAGGAAGGACUCAUUGGGUGGGCACAUGGAAAAUAGGGUCUGUUUUGUUUUAUUUUGAAAGUAACUCGUCUGUUUGCAGUAUAAGGAAAGAGACCUGGGCUUGACCUUGCAAGAGCUUCUGCUUGUAGUUUUGGGUACAGUGCUUAGGGUCGGGUGGCAUUGCUUGGUGCUCAAGAUACUGCUUGUCACAGGAUUGCUCUGUGAGCCUGGACAUGUCCCUUCUGCUCCCUGGGCCUCAGCUUUAUGUUCUGUAAAAUGAGGGUGGCUCUGGUGGGGCCCCUCAGGCCCAAUCCUCCUGCAGGAGGGGAACACGGUGCUUUACCUGGCUGCCGGCCGGGGCCACACAGCUGUGCUGCAAAAACUAGUAAACAUUGGCCUGGAGCGGAAUGCCGUGAGUCACCAGCCAUUGGGGGAGCUCCCUGUCCUCAAGAAUCCCCAGGCAUGUGGCUCAGGCCUGUAAUCCCAGUGCUUCAGAGGCUGAGGCAGGAGGAUCACUGAGAGUACGAGACCAGCCUGGGCUACAAAGUGAGCUCAAGGCCAGCCUGAGCUUAGUGACAUAGUGCCUGCCUGGCAAACAUGAGGUCGUGAGUUUGAUCCCCAGUACCAACAACAACAAAAAAGACAGGAAAACAAAACGUGGCCUGGUUUUCCCUGGCUGAGGCCCUGGAGCCAGGGAGCUGACACCUAAGGGCAAAGAGCAGCACCUAGAAGCCAGACUGAGUGGGCUGUGGGGUGGAGGAUGGGUGUCUGACAGAGGGAGAAUUUGGGGGGCCAGGUUGGCCAGGGAGCACAGUAGAGUGGGGCUGGAAGGACAGGAGGGUGUGGAGAGCUGGCCAUCUGCCCAUUUCUGCCUCCUACCUUUCCCACAUGUUUCAGGAAGGAUUUAGGGCCCUGCACACGGCAGCUGAAGGACUCCCCCUGGAUUGUGUGCGGUGCCUGCUUGGGGCGGGGAGCCUGGUGAAUGCCCUCACACAGGUAGUUUUAGCAACAGUCAUCAGGAUCCAGUGCUCCAGAGCUGUCAGACGCAUCUCACCUCUCGCCGGCCGCCUCCAUGUACCACCAACCAGAUUGAUUUAAGGAGACUUCGUCAAUGCCAGAUUCGUCGCUGACUGACCUGCUCGGACUUGCUGUGGAAGACUGAUGGGGCUCGGGGCUCACAGCCCCCACUCUGGUCACCUUGUCAGAGCCCCGAGUCUCACUGGAGGUCUUAGCUGAGAAUUGCCCUUUACUUCUAGCCCAGAAAGCAGCAGACAGCUUAUCUAAGGCAUAUCUCCACCUCCAGCCUGUGUGGACAGCCUGCCCUAUAACCCAGCAGUGAGCUUGUAAAUCUGUCUGUGAUCACCCAUGAUGCACGUGGCCUUCAAAUGUGUGCCCCACCCCAGCUGUGUGAGCACCUCCCCUCUGCUCCUGUGGGCAUCCUCCUUCCUCCAAUACAUCCUUCUAGUCUUCUUUUUUGACACUGAAAAUUCAUCUUCCAUGAUGGGAUUCAGUGAAUCUACACCCUUAUUGUAACAGAUGAUUAAGUUCCUCAUUUCAGCCUAGGAGGCCUUCAGACUCAGCCCAGGACACAGUCACAGCUUUGUGCAAUAUAGUGAGCACUUUAGAUCUUGAUUCAUAGACCGCACCUGUAAAUAUUCUUCAGGAGAGGGAAGUAUAUCCUCACACAACUUGGAAAUUUUUGCUGACCCCCAAAAUGUGCACAGUGGAUGUCUGUGAGGUCCAGCUGACAACCCCAACAGAAACAGCUGGGGGGAAAAUUGUCAACUGUUUCUUGGAGAAAGGAGUAAUAUCUAGAAUAUAUAAAGAACUCAAAAAAGUUAGACUCCCCUAAAUAAAAGACCUAAUUAAAAAAUGGGUUAGUGAAAUAAACAGACACUUCUCAGAAGUACAAUUGGUAAAUAAAUAUGUGAAAAAAUGUCCAGCAUCUCUGUCCAGAAGAGAAACGCAAAUUAAAACAACACUAGGAUUUCAUCUUAUAACCGAAAGAACUGCCAUCAUCAAGAGGUCAAGUGCUGGAGCAGCUUUUUAGAAAAGGAAUCUGUGGGGAGCCGCCUGACCGGUCCCCUAAGAUGGUGCCCAUUUCCUGCUUCCGGGUUCUUCCCGGCCCAAACAAGCCCGCCAAAUUGCCACGUCUGCCCAGCUACCGAUGACGCUAGCCUAUUAGCUUGCUGGGCUUGCUUUGCUAUGAUUGGAUGCUGUUUUCCCUUAUAAGAGACUGACCCUGCCCCUAACGGGCAGAAGAGGAACCAACGUUGAGGGUGGCGGACCUUGUUAGGUCCGGUUCGCUGUACGCAAUAAACUUUGAGAGCUGAUCCUGCUUGAGUCUGGCCUCCUGUCUCCCGCGGCUCUGGUCAUCUGGUGGCCCGUACGGGGACAAAAGGCUCAGCGACGUGCCUCUUUGGCCGGGAGGUGCGAUUGCUGUCACCUGCGGUACGACGGAGGACCUGGCCCAAUAACAACGGAAGGCCCUGAGCGCCUCUUCUCUUCACCCUGAUCAGAUACGUGAGAUACAGCGGUUCCCGGGACAGGAACCAGGUCGCGAGCCGCUAUGGGUCCCGGAAAGAUUGACGCGAGCAGUAAACUCCCCACCAGUUCUUGAUAAAGCACAGGAGGAUAAGCCCGCGGACACAAGUCAACUCGACCCUUCUGGGACCGACGCUCAGCGCCCGAGACCAUCUACAAACUAAAAUGUUCUUCCCGGCCCGAACAAGCCCGCCAAAUUGCCACAUCUGCCCAGCUACCGAUGACGCUAGCCUAUUAGCUUGCUGGGCUUGCUUUGCUAUGAUUGGAUGCUGUUUUCCCUUAUAAGAGACUGACCCUGCCCCUAACGGGCAGAAGAGGAACCAACGUUGAGGGUGGCGGACCUUGUUAGGUCCGGUUCGCUGUAGGCAAUAAACUUUGAGAGCUGA